GAGCAUGUCAGCUGAGGACUCUCCCUCAUCAGACUGCCCUGUGAGCAUGUCAGCUGAGGACUCUCCCCCAUCAGACUUCCCUGUGAGCAUGUCAGCUGAGGAACUUCCCCCAUCAGACUUCCCUGUGAGCAUGUCAGCUGAGGACUUUCCCUCAUCAGACUGCCCUGUGAACAGCCCCCUCCCUCCUCUCCUCCCAGUCCUAGCCUCACACCCCCUCCCCCUAUUCCACCAUUCCCUUCUGAGAAGAGGAGUUCCUCCUAUGGUUGCCAACACACACAGCUCUCCCUGGCCCAUCAAGCCGCAGCAGGAUUAAGUGUAUCCUUUCCCAUUGAGGCCAGACAAGGAAGCCACCUUCUGUGUGUUCUGGGAGCCAAACCCAGGUCUCUGCAAUUAUAAUACAUCUGCCUUUCCAAAGCACCCAAAAUCCCAGCAUGGCGAGGUAGGAUGUGCACGAAGUCCCUUAGCUAAGGAGCUACUGGGAACUGAAGACUUCUGGGAAGGGGAGAGUCAGUUUUCUUUAAGAGUGCAGCACCUGGUGGGUCGGCAACUCUCCACAGCUCAAUUUUUAGUAGCUACAGGACUACUUGUAUUGUUUUA